rnacentral:rRNA from 1 species
UACGGGGGGGGCGAGCGUUGUUCGGAAUUACUGGGCGUAAAGAGCUCGUAGGUGGUUUGUCGCGUUGUCCGUGAAAACUCACAGCUCAACUGUGGGCGUGCGGGCGAUACGGGCAGACUGGAGUACUGCAGGGGAGACUGGAAUUCCUGGUGUAGCGGUGGAAUGCGCAGAUAUCAGGAGGAACACCGGUGGCGAAGGCGGGUCUCUGGGCAGUAACUGACGCUGAGGAGCGAAAGCGUGGGGAGCGAACAGG